rnacentral:rRNA from 1 species
GACGAACGCUGGCGGCGUGCUUAACACAUGCAAGUCGAACGGAAAGGCCCUGCUUUUGUGGGGUGCUCGAGUGGCGAACGGGUGAGUAACACGUGAGUAACCUGCCCUUGUCUUUGGGAGAACUUCAGGAAACUGGGGCGAAUACCGGAUAGGAGCUCCUGCUGCAGGGUGGGGGUGGGAAAGUUUCGGCGGUUGGGGAUGGACUCGCGGCUUAUCAGCUGGUUGGGGGGGUAGUGGCUUACAAGGGCUUUGACGGGUAGCCGGCCUGGGAGGGUGACCGGCGACAUUGCGCCUGAGGUACGGACCAGACUCCUACGGGCGGCAGCAGUGGGGAGUAUGACACAAUGGGCGGAAGCCUGAUACAGCAACGCCGCGUGCGGGAUGCCGGCCUUCGGGUUGUAAACCGCUUUCGCCUGUGACGAAGCGUGAGUGACGGUAAUGGGUCAAGAAGCACCGGCUAACUACGUG